CAGGGCUGUAUGAGGAAGGCUGAGGGCAGUCCAGCCAAUCAGUGGCCAGAGGUCGGGGGUAUCCCUCUUCAGGGGCGGAGCCUGGGUGAUUAAAUUUCCAGUAGGAAUUGCCUUUGAAAACGAAGGAACCCCUUAGGAGGACCUAACCAGCUGCUUAUACCGCUUAUAGCUAGAAAUAGCCCUGAUUCAUGGGUACUAUUAGUUCUUCGCCAGGAAUUGUUUAAAAAGAAGUUGAAAUGAUGCAAACUGAUGGCUUCAGCAAAAGCGUCUACCAUCGAUAAAGAACCUCGAAGCUCACGGUGCACUCCACCUGCCCUGUCUGGAUCUGAUGGAAAGAAGGCAUGGCCAACAGAUCCACCUGCCCCAUCAAAGGGAUAUCCAUCUCCAUGGGAUCCAAGCAAGAAAUCUAUUUGGAGAUCUGCC